rfam:Saprolegnia parasitica CBS 223.65 unplaced genomic scaffold supercont2.74, whole genome shotgun sequence.
UCCCGAUUAGCUCAGUUGGUAGAGCGCACGACUUUUAAUCGUGUGGUCGCGGGUUCGAGCCCCGCAUUGGGAG